CCGGGAAUUGGAGUCCCGCCGCCCCGGCCUGACCUGUUGCUGCCUCCCUGGGCGGGUGUCCCGGGGGCUGAGGACAGGGACGGGGAUGGCGCGGCCGGGCCGGGGCGCCUGCGCAGACGGCCAGGGCCGGCGACAAGCUGGGGAGCGCGGGGAGUAUGCAUAAGCUUAAAUCAUCUCAGAAGGACGAGGUCCUCCAGCUCAUGGCAUUCACUCAGGCUGGUGAGAGAACUGUCAUCCGGUGCUCAGCCCAAAGUGAGUGGAAACUGGACACGCCACGGACAGCUUCUUCCAGAACCCGGCCUCGUUCCACAAGGACUCCAUGCGAACCUCCGUGGACAGGAAGACGCUGGAGCCGCUGUAUAACUGGUACAAAGGUAGCGGCGCAGUGGCGAGUGCGUGCGUCUCCAGGGAGCAGGGUGGCUGUGCUGGAGUCUCCGUGCUGCGUCCCAGGGCCCCCGACGUGCAUUCCCUUCCCGUGCAGGUGUUCAGCUGCACAAAAGUCUGAGGACUGAUGAGCAGCGAGCCCUCCUGCACGUGGCCUGGGCGGAGGCUCGUGUGCCCACGGUCGGCUGCGCACGGUCACUGCUCGGAGGCUUGGUGUCCAGGCCAGGUGGCUACGCUCGUUAAGACAGUACUUCUCCCCAGCGCUUGCACGUAGGCAGGAAUACGUGGUGAGAAGGCCAUUCCAGAACGAUACCGACUCGUAAGAGUAAUUCUGAUGCGAGGGUACAGGUAUCCUGCCCUUAACACCGUGUGCUGGUGUUGGAGCCCUGGAACAGCUCCAGCUGCAGAAGCUUCUGGAAAAACUCUUGGCAAAAAAACCUGUGUGUUGUCAGCUGGGGACAGUUGUUAUUUUCAUUGAAAUUGGCACUUAGAAUGGAGCUUUCCCUAUCAAAAUGCAGUCAUGCGGCAAAAAUAAGUCUGCGUGAUGAGUCUGUGCGGAUCCAGGCUGCUCAGCAGGCUCUAGAUUCCACAUCAAAUGUCAGGUCUGUGCUGUAAUGGGAGGGGCGGCAACGAUUCCAGAGCUGAUUUUUUUUUCUAGCAGUUUCUAAGGUUAAUCUUAUCUUUCCAAAACUUAAAAAAUAAAAUCCCUCAUUUAAACAAGUAUUAACACAAACAGAGUAACUCCCUUGGCUUUAAGUUCUUCUUUAUUUAUUAUUUUCAUUUUUCACUUUUGAAAAUACUGUGUAUAAUCUGUCUAUCUAGAUCCAAAAAAUCAAUUGAAAAUUGCAUUCCAUUAAAAAAAAAAAUCUUGGUUCAGAAACAUGUUCUGUGGUUUAAAAAACAGAUUUGUACUUGUUGUAGUUCUCCAAAAAUGAACAUUGUUUUCAGUGUGCUUUAAAUUUUUUUGGCUAAGUUAAUUACUGAGCUAAUUUUGUAAGUCAUAUGCUAUGCAGAUUCUAAAAGUUAUUCAGAUAUGUGCAGCUGCCUUUGGAAAAAUAUUUUUAUGUGAAAAUUAUCUUUAGUCUUUAAGCUUCAUCCCUUAUCAUUUAAUUUUAUUCAUGCAAUUCUAGUCAUUUAAAGUAGACAUAUGGUACAGUCAUUUUGGCCCCUAAACAUAGAUGUAUAGUUCAAAGCCAAUUGACAAAUAGAACAACUGUUGUUACACAAUGUAUACAAAUGAAUGAGUGCUUCCAGACUACUUUAAAGCAUUCUAAAUUAUUAUAUGUGAAGUUUAUCAGGACGGUUAUUAGGUGAGGGCAUCGUAGACCCAUUUUUCUGUUAUCCUGAAGGUCUGUUGUGUUAGGAGCGCAGGCUUGAGUCAGGAGGUGUGUGGGAACCUCUGUCCUAUGAGCCCACGGCGGCAGGUUCUCACGGACACAGGAGCGUAGAGUUGGAAGGGUCUGUGAUUUUGCUCAUUUAAGGUAGGUCAGCAGUUCUUCUUUGGUAACAACAUAUGUAUAUAUAAACGUGGCGUUGAGCACUUAAGAGUUCGAUCUCGUGUGAUGGAAGAAGAGUUUGUUGCACUUAACCUUCCUUUGCGGGAAGGUGCCGCGGGCCUGCUUCUCCCACCUUCUACGGCAGCAGGUGGUCUGUCAUUGUGAUGCCGGUUAGGAGACACAGGCUGAGGUCACAGGGCCUCGCUUGGUGAGGCCUUGCUGAUUCUUUUAAUGGAUUUCACGGUUUGAUUUUCCCAUGGAGAAAUGCUAAGUUCCUUAAUUUUAUGUCUAAACUAGAAAUUGCCGGGGGGGGGGGGGGGGGGGGGGGGGGGGGGAGCCUGAAUUUCUAAGCUGUUAAACGUGGAUGCAGAAACUAAACAACUGAAGAAUGAGUAUUGUGCAGUAGUAUUAGCACUGUAGCAAAUGAAAUCACUUUUAAAAGAAAAACAUCUUUCUUUUGCUUUGACAAGGUGGUGAUAAAAACUUAAAAUAUUUUGCAUGCUUUACAGUGUUUUUCGUCGCAGUUUGCCUUUGGGCAAGGUAAAAUUCUGUAAACUUGAAAUUUUAUUUUACUUUAGGGAGAUUAAUUAAUUUUUUCUUAAUGAUGAAGUCUUCAAAGAAGUUUCAAUGAUUUUCCCCACCCCAAAAACCCAGGAACCUAGAUUUUAAAAAUAAAGAGUAUUUUCUGGAUAAAUCAUUAUUUAUUGCUAUGUCUUUCACAUAUGGUAGAAAAUUGCAGUGCAUUGAUUGAUGUAUUUGAAACACACUUGCCAAAACUAUGUAGUAGAGGUAUGAUUCUUACCACCCAUUUUAGUAAUGCUUUUCAAAAUAUCCAAAUUUUUAAUUUGUUUUCCCCUUAACUUUAACUACAGACCCACAAGAUGAAAAUAAAAUUGGAAUUGAUGGAAUUCAGAAGUUUUGUGAUGAUUUAAGCCUAGAUUUAAGCCUAGUAUCACCGUUUUGGGUAUAGUGUGGAAAUUCAGGGCCACGGCUCUAUGUGAAUUUAGCAAAAAGAAUUUGUAGAUGGCAUGACAGAGCUUGGGGUUGGGAUAAAAGCUUCAUCCAUACCGUAACGUGUUUCUGACUUGCUGGAUGAGUCGGAGAGACUUAGAAAUGGCCGUCGCGUAUUGGAAUUUGGUAUUCUCCGGAAGGCUUAAGUUUUUAGAUCUUUGGAACAUCCUUUUGUUGAAGCAUCACAAAAGAUCAAUCCCAAGAAACACUUGGAACCUUCUGCUAGAUUUUGUAAAUAUGAUUGCAGAUGACAUGUCCAGCUAUGAUGAAGAAGGUACGAGAAGUAGUCGGAACUCAGGCGAUGGCCAGAGGCACUGACGUGGGUGCGCAUGUCUCUGCCCCCGGACCACGGGUCAGUGAUGGCAGCGCAGGCCCCGGGGCGGACAGCACCUGCUGACUCCUGGCCCGACCCCGUCCGGAGACGGGGGUGGUGAUCAUAGUGACUAGUAGUCACUUUAUUAUGUCUUGUAAAUCACACAAAAGAAAAUACAGCUUCAUAUUUAGGUAAAGUCAGGAAGACAGUUGUCCGAGCUAAGCCAUUUCAGAGUGGACGUGCAGAGGCCCUGAGGCAGACCUCAAGCAGGACAGUCACUGGGGCCCGCUGCCCCGCGUGUGGCUGCAGCAGCUGUUCCGUCUCACGGCCGAAGCUCACGGAAGACCGCAGCCUCCAUUUGCUCACCUGAGCACGACCACGCCUGCUGCGGCCCCCACCCCAAACAUUUCAGGACUUGGGGAGCGUUUGCCUGCCUGCUGAGCUGUGGGCGCUGCCCCGUUAGAGAAGGAUGCCCACCCCCCCGGCCCCGCCCACCGUCGGCUCCCUCUGCCCGGCCAGGAGGUGACUGUGCACAUUCCCGGCGGGGUCAAGGGUGGGCGGUCCUCACAGGGCCGGCUCCACACAAGCACACCAGCGCUUGCCAACCCUGGUCUGGCUAGAGCAGAAGAGGGUCACUUUAGCCGAUUCUUCAAGUGGAGCACAGGCUAUAGAAAGUUAAAAUCAUUUGAGUUCUUGAAAUAUAAAAGUUGGAUUGUGAAAAAAUGCUUUGAAUGUAAAAAUAUUGCUCUAAAUCGUUGAUUUUUUUAAAAAAUCUAUUUGCUCUCCUUCAGGAGUGGGGCCUGUUCUUACAGAUGAUUUCGUAGAAUGUGCACGGCCAGUGGUCACGGGUGGUUAAGGCAGCCCUCUCUAGGCAGAAAAUCGAGAUGGACUAAGGUGAAAAGGGAGCUGUCCUGCGGGAGACACUGGCCAGCCAUGCCCAUUGCCCAUUUUGGAAGUCAUCCUGACCAGUCGUGAGACUGGAGACCCUCUCCUGCUGCUUAGAGAAGACGCCGCUGACUGUGGACGCCGCACGGAGACCCUCUGAGCUCGCUGCUGGGGCGCCCAGAGACCCAAUCAUAAGAGACCUCCGCAUGAUUUCUGCGUUUACGGAGGAGCUGGGGCCUGUCUGCAGGCUGCAGGGUGGCUGUUGAUCAUGACCCAAAGCGAGGCUGUGCUCACCACACUCGCUCAAUUGUCCGUAACCACCCCGAGGAACUACAAGUCAGGCUGCUGGAAACGUGCCCUAAAGGGGACGCGUGUCGUGGAUGCUGGCGGUUUUGAACUUGGUGCCAGGGUUAAGAUUUAUAUUUUUUGAAUCAUCAAGUGUCUAGAUUUAUCAGCUCUAUUUUCAUUUCACUUUUCUCUGGAUGCUCAUCUGGGAAUCAUUUUACAGGUUAACGCACCGUUGCAGUUUGCACAGCGAUGAUGUCAUCGUGAUUCCAGAAAAGUGUUCUUUUAAAUUGCCUGCAAGUCAGUGGGUCUGCUUUACUUCUGAUAACGGCAGCUGAGCUUCCUAAGAGCGUCAUAAAGUAUGCUUUUAAAAAAAAUGUAUUUUGGGGCUUCCCUGGUGGCGCAGUGGUUGAGAGUCCGCCUGCCGAUGCAGGGGACGCGGGUU